AAGAGACAGCAGCCGCCGCGGUAAUACAGAGGGUGCGAGCGUUAAUCGGAUUUACUGGGCGUAAAGCGUGCGUAGGCGGCUUUUUAAGUCGGAUGUGAAAUCCCUGAGCUUAACUUAGGAAUUGCAUUCGAUACUGGGAAGCUAGAGUAUGGGAGAGGAUGGUAGAAUUCCAGGUGUAGCGGUGAAAUGCGUAGAGAUCUGGAGGAAUACCGAUGGCGAAGGCAGCCAUCUGGCCUAAUACUGACGCUGAGGUACGAAAGCAUGGGGAGCAAACAGGAUUAGAUACCCCCGUAGUCCCUGUCUCUUAUAC
rnacentral:rRNA from 1 species